UUUCCCGGAAGUAACGUCAGUCCAAACGGCCCGGGAUCCUGGGAAUGUUUGUUGCUGCAGAUGGAAGUGGGAGGGUACUUGUGAUUAGUUUGUUAACGGCUACCAAACACUGCUCAGUUCACUUGAGGAAAUGUGUAGGCUGAGGUGUUAUAUUUUACAUUGUUUUUGGUCCCUUUGGGCAGGGUUGUAUAUUGUGGGGAAGGCCCUGCUCUGUAGGACCACUCUUAACACAGUAGUUUGGGGCUCCACUUUGGGCUCAGCAACCAAAACUGCGAUGCUGUGGCACUGUUGGGCAAGGUACCUAAGUGAAGGCUUUAGGAUUCAAGCACCUGGGAAUACACAGACCCGUCAUCAGAAAUGUCUCCUUAUUCUAACACCCACCCAAUGAGCCUCCGAAAAGGGAGUAAUUUACCUGUCUCUGCCAACUCAACAGUUUGCACCCUCUGCUGCCCACAUUUACUAAAAUUAAUGCAACUCAGUUACCAGCAUCUAUGAUGAGAAGUACCUAGUGUACAGUCUAAUUGCAGGUGGCUUGUGCUUUCAAAUAUCUUAUCUGAUGUGAUAGCCUCAGUUUCUACCUUGAAGUCGGAAGACUAUGAAAACCACCAUGUGGGUAGGCGAUGAAUGCCUGAGGACUGUUGUGUGUCAGAUCUAAAAAAAGGGAGAAACCAGUUUGACUUCAUGCCAGCACUAGAAGUGACAUGACAAAGAAGGCUGGAGUUGAACCAUGCAUGCACAAUGGAUUCUGAAGCAGAAGAGAGAAAAACUCUUGGGGUUUUGCUUUUUUUUUUUUUUUAAA